UACGAAGGGGCUAGCGUUGCUCGGAAUCACUGGGCGUAAAGCGCACGUAGGCGGAUUGCUAAGUCAGGGGUGAAAUCCUGGAGCUCAACUCCAGAACUGCCCUUGAUACUGGCGGUCUCGAGUCCGGGAGAGGUGAGUGGAACUGCGAGUGUAGAGGUGAAAUUCGUAGAUAUUCGCAAGAACACCAGUGGCGAAGGCGGCGAUCUGGGUCGAUACUGACGGCUGAGGUGGCGAAAGCGUGGGGAGCAAACAGG
rnacentral:rRNA from 1 species